rnacentral:lncRNA from 1 species
AAUAAGAUUUACGGCCUUGACCGGUCAUUUUUGACCGGUUAAGUCAUAAAAGUGUGCAUUUUGUUCAGCAAAAGUGAAGUUUGUGGUAUAAUUAGACACCUUUUCACAUGCCCACCCUACUACUACAACACUAAUAUUCAAACAACAAAAGAUGAGAAUUUCACCAUCAGCCCUAAAAGAUCUCCCAGAGCAAUGUUGAUGAAAAAAAAAAAAGCUGAAAGAAAAUUCUCUGAUGCUGUUUAAGAAAGUCCUGAGUUGUGUACUAUGACCCUUAUUCAUCAGCUGGAAUCAUACCUUCCUCCUCUUCGUCCUCUCGUCCAGGUCCAGGUCCAGGUCCAGGUCCAGGUGACAACCGCUGAUUUCUGAGUGCUGGAGGUGAUCUACCUGAGCCCAAUAUGAUUUUAUGGAAACUGCGCCCUGGAGAGUGAACAGGGCGUUCAC